rnacentral:rRNA from 1 species
GAAAAAUUUAUUUAAUUUAGUUGUUAAUUUUAUAUAUUAAUUAAAGUAUUAUAAUUUUUUUUAUAUUUAUAGAUAAAAUUUUUAUUAUAAUAGUGAAUUAGUAAAGUGAUUGAAAAUUGAAAUAAAUUGAAAUAUUUAAAAUUUAAGAAAGAAGAUUUUAAUUAUUGUACCUUGUGUAUCAGGGUUUAUUAAAUAAAAUUUAUAGAUUUAAGUUUCUCGAAUUUAAAAGAGCUAAGAAAUUAAAAAUUUUAUUGUGAAAAAAAUAUUUUAAAUAAUUUUUUGGUAAUGAAAUGUUAGUCGUUUUUAAAUUUAUCUAGUUUUUUAAGAAAUAAAUUUAAUUUAGUUAAUUAUUUAAUAAUUAAGAUAAUUAUUUAUUUUAAUUUAAUAAUUAAUUAAUAUUUUAAGGGAUAAGCUUUAAAGUAAAGUUUAAUAAAUAAAUAUUUAAUUAUAAAAUUUAUAGAAGUGAAAGUAUUAACUUAUUUUAGUGUUUUAUAACAAGUUUUAUUUAAAUUAUAAUUUAUAUUUAUUUUUAAUUUUUUAUUAAAAUGAUUAAUUUAAUUUAAAAUUUAAUGUAUUAAUGAUAAAAUUAGUAUAAAUAAAAUGUUUAUAUAAUUUAAUUUUUAAGGUUAAUUUAAGGAAUUCGGCAAAUUUAAUUUUUCGCCUGUUUAUUAAAAACAUGUCUUUUUGAUUAUAAUUUAAAGUCUGACCUGCUCUAUGAUUAAUUUAAAUGGCCGCGAUAUUUUGAUCGUGCAAAGGUAGCAUAAUCAUUAGUUUCUUAAUUAGGAACUGGAAUGAAAGGUUGAACGAAAAAGUUACUGUCUCAAUUUAAUUGGAUUAGAAUUUUAUUUUUAAGUAAAAAAGCUUAAAUAUAUUUAAAAGACGAGAAGACCCUAUAGAGUUUUAUAAUUAAUUUAUAGUAUUUAAAAUUUAGUAUUUUUUUUAUUUAUUUUAGAUUAAUUAUUUGGUUGGGGUGAUUAAAAAAUUUAAAAAACUUUUUUUAUUUAAAACAUUGAUUUAUGAAUAUAUGAUCCAUUAUUAAUGAUUAUUAGAUAAAAUUACCUUAGGGAUAACAGCGUAAUUUUUUUUGAGAGUUCAUAUCGAAAAAAAAGAUUGCGACCUCGAUGUUGGAUUAAAAUUUACUUAUGGUGUAGGUGUUAUAGGGUUAGGUCUGUUCGACCUUUAAAAUUUUACAUGAUCUGAGUUUAAACCGGUGUGAGCCAGGUUGGUUUCUAUCUUUAAAUAAGUAAAAUAUUUUAGUACGAAAGGAUUAAAUAUUUAUAAUAAUUAUUUUUUAAAGAUUAUUAUUAAUUACUUUGACAGAAUAGUGUGUUAAAUUUAGAAUUUAUUUAUGUAUAUAGGUUAUACA